UACGUAGGGUGCAAGCGUUGUCCGGAAUUAUUGGGCGUAAAGAGCUCGUAGGCGGUUUGUCGCGUCUGCUGUGAAAACCCGAGGCUCAACCUCGGGCCUGCAGUGGGUACGGGCAGACUAGAGUUCGGUAGGGGAGUCUGGAAUUCCUGGUGUAGCGGUGAAAUGCGCAGAUAUCAGGAGGAACACCGGUGGCGAAGGCGGGUCUCUGGGACGGUACUGACGCUGAGACGCGAAAGCGUGGGGAGCGAACAGG
rnacentral:rRNA from 1 species